GAAAACUCACGCUUUUUUGGCCAUGAUCUCGAACUACAACCUCUGUUCCAAGCCUAAACCAGAUGCGAUUCUAAACCAUGUCCACCACAGCGCCCGAGAACAAAAAGGUGUCCUAGUUGCUGAUACAGUGAUAAAGAAAUUCUGGGCACCCUACUGGCAGGUGUUGCGGACGCGACUUGACGGUGUGUUAACCCUCUGGAUUCUGCUGCAAUAUAAUGACGUCUAAACAUUACUUUUCUAUAUUCGCGCAGGCGAGAUUUUCACUUUACUUCACGUGCUCACACACGUCCCUUUGAAAACCCCUCCCGAGGUUUCCUCUUCACGUGACCCAAAUAGCAGCUGCUUCGGAUCAAGAUAAAGAGAGCCUUCUGCGCUUUAAAACGUCUUCACUUAUUUACGAACUACAUUAGCUAUGAUCCCAUGGUAGAAAUACCAGCACAAUAAGCAUUUCUUACUGCCUUUUAUUAAAACAAAAACCUACUCGUUCAAUGUAUGCUUUGACAGAGUUCCAAGAUUACAGCAUUAACGUUCAUUUGGAAUA